rnacentral:rRNA from 1 species
AAACAUGUCCUUUUGUUUAUUUAAAAGGUCUGGCCUGCCCAGUGAUAUAAAUUCAACGGCCGCGGUAUAUUGACCGUGCAAAGGUAGCAUAAUCAUUAGUCUUUUAAUAGGGGGCUGGUAUGAAAGGUUAAACGAAACAUUAACUGUCUUAUUUAUAAAUAUUAAAAUUUAACUUUUAAGUCAAAAGGCUUAAAUUUUUUUGGAGGACGAGAAGACCCUAUAGAGCUUUACAUUAUGUUUUUUAAUAUUUCUUGGUUAAAUAUUUUGAUAUUAAUUUAUCUAUUGUUUUGUUGGGGUGACAAUAAAAUAUGAUUAACUUUUUAUAGAACUUACAUUUAUUUAUGAAUUUUUGAUCCAAUAUUAUUGAUCAUUAGAUUAAGUUACCUUAGGGAUAACAGCGUAAUCUUUCUUAGGAGUUCAAAUUUACAGAAAGGCUUGCGACCUCGAUGUUGGAUUAAGAUAAUAGUUAGGUGCAGUAGCUUAACGAAUA